UCUAGCUCAAAAGUAUAGUAUUUUGUAAUUUCAUGUUUAUGCUAAUUUUAUAAAGUAAAUAUUUAAUACAAACUUACUGUUUAUUCCCAAAUUCUCUUUCUUUUCUUUUUUCUUUUUCUUCAAGUGGACUGUUUAGUAUGGUUAUUUGGAUGAUGGUUUUGAUUUGGAGAAUCAAAAGCCAUGGUAUGUGAAGGUAGUUGGAAGAAUGGAGCAAUGGCAUUAAUUGCUCAAGAAAGUGCUAUUUUCUUCUGCCUGGGACUUCCUGGAGAACUGUGGUUCUGUUUGUUAGACUCCUGAUCUGGCGAGUGG
rnacentral:lncRNA from 1 species